CGCUUCUCUCUUCUCUCUUCUCUCUUGUUCUUCGGAGGAGACGACGAGUCUGAUUCGUCGCGAAGCUGAUGCCAUCCUCCGCAUGCAAUCUCAUCACCUUUUUCUUUAUCUACUCUGUCAGCCCAAACUCGAUCUCUAAUCUCCUUCUCCAGCUUCACUCCCAAAACUCUAGUUUUCUUCAGAACCAGAACCAGAAUCCCUAAUCUUCCUUCUUCUGUGUUUGCUUCCCAUCGACCCCGCAAUAUCAUCAACGUGGGUUUGUUCAGGGGAUCAUGGCGUGUUUGUGGAUCUUGAUGCCUUUGUCGAGGUAAAGAUUCAUGUUUUAGUCUUGUUGGAGGCGUUAUUAGGAGCGGAUUGUUUUGUUGAUGAAUCAACUUAUUUAGUGUUGUGGGAGGUUUAAAUUGAGUUUAUCUAGUGAACGAUCUCUGCUAAUUAACUCAUUUAGUCUUGUGGGAGGCUAGCAUCAAGUUAAGAGCUUUAUCUAGUGAAUGAUCUCUGGUUGUUCUGUUUUGCCCAGCUAGUCGUGUGUGUAUUCGUGUGUGUGUUUGCAUAAUACAAUAUGAUAGUGUCUUCAAGCUCUUAUCAGAUCUCUGCCUUUAACUUAACCUUAAUACAAUAGAUUCAUCUUCAAGCUUUUCAUAAUACAAUAGCAUUAUUCAUUCUGUUUACUAAUUCUUUUUAAUUUCUUCAUUCUUUUGCGAGUCCUCUAUUGGUAGUUGCGCUUGCUGUGGCACAGGCUUUUCCCAUCAGUUGUCUUGGAGAAGCAACCAUUACUGGCGCCUCACGGUGAGAGAGAAGACACCAGAAGUUCACAUGUCGAUCUCGAUUUUUCUCAAGAUAUGCCUACAAAUAUCGCCAAUAUGAUGGGUGCUCGAACUAGAAUUCGCGAUAGACAGAUGCAUCAACAACUAAAAGCGGAUUUGGUUGAACAUAUAUGGCGUAAAUUUGGACGUGAUGCAGACAACAACUGAGCUCGUUGAGCUCGUUUCAAAUUAUUUUAUUAUCUACUAUUUGUUUUUAUGUUUUUAUUUUAAAAUCUAUGUUAAAAAUGUUUUCUUUCAAUAUGUUUUAUUUAAUAAAUCAAUUUUAUCUUAAAAAAAAAAUUUAAGAACCCUUAAUUAAGAAACUACCAUUGGAGGCACAAAAUCGAACAAUUUCUUAACUAGAAUCCUUAAACCCACUUAAGUACAUUUAAUUAAUUAAAUAAUGAUUAAGAAAACCCACUUGAGUUUCAUGGAUAAUCAUGCUCUAAGACACUUCUUACUACCAAUACACUUUUCUCUCUCUUUUUUUCUUCUUCUAACGCUAUUUUCUCUUUUCCACAUUGUACGAAAACUCUUUCUAUACUUCUUCUACUCUUAUUUAUAAUUGAAACAUAACUACUAAAUAAAAUACUAUACUUAAAUCAUGUGGCUACAAACCAUUCUCUUUUUCUUUGGACUCAUAUCUACCACUUAUCUUCUAACCAUUAGAUCUUUAAAUAUAUAUAUUUAAAUGGAUGGCCCAGAUUAUACUGUAUUUUGACCUACCAUAUACUCAGAUUCUUUCUAUCUUUGAAUCUCGUCUCCAUCACCAUUCUUCUCGUUGUUGGAGUCAUGACAAAGGAGAGAAAAAAAGUGAAAGAGGUCUAUGCGGAAGGGGUUAGGCUCCUGGCCCAGUCAAGACCUCAAUAGCUAAUAUCAGUGAAAGAGUACUUUGUACGAUUAUUAUACUUGAAAAGAAAUAUCAGCUUCUCUUCUCCAUCUUCCUUACUCUGGCUAUUCAGAGACCUUGAUGAAGAAGAAGAAGCUAUGGUAGAUAUAGCAAUAAUAGUGCGAGGAACUGGGGAAGAGAGGCUUAAGUUCUUUUCAUGUUUUUGAAAUAUCUGCUAAAACUUUUUCUUAAUGUUUUGGAUUCCUCUCAAGUUAAUUAUGUAUUAUUAUAAUUUUUGACAAUUCCAGGUUAUCAUUCAGAUUAAA